UACGGGGGGGGGUAAGCGUUGUUCGGAAUUACUGGGCGUAAAGGGCUCGUAGGCGGCCAACUAAGUCGGACGUGAAAUCCCUCAGCUUAACUGGGGAACUGCGUCCGAUACUGGAUGGCUUGGAUUUGGGAGAGGGAUGCGGAAUUCCAGGUGUAGCGGUGAAAUGCGUAGAUAUCUGGAGGAACACCGGUGGCGAAGGCGGCAUCCUGGACCAAUAUUGACGCUGAGGAGCGAAAGCCAGGGGAGCAAAGCGGG
rnacentral:rRNA from 1 species